rnacentral:rRNA from 1 species
GAUGAACGCUGGCGGCGUGCCUAAUACAUGCAAGUCGAGCGAACGGACGAGAAGCUUGCUUCUCUGAUGUUAGCGGCGGACGGGUGAGUAACACGUGGAUAACCUACCUAUAAGACUGGGAUAACUUCGGGAAACCGGAGCUAAUACCGGAUAUUAUUUUGAACCGCAUGGUUCAAAAGUGAAAGACGGUCUUGCUGUCACUUAUAGAUGGAUCCGCGCUGCAUUAGCUAGUUGGUAGGGUAACGGCUUACCAAGGCAACGAUGCAUAGCCGACCUGAGAGGGUGAUCGGCCACACUGGAACUGAGACACGGUCCAGACUCCUACGGGAGGCAGCAGUAGGGAAUCUUCCGCAAUGGGCGAAAGCCUGACGGAGCAACGCCGCGUGAGUGAUGAAGGUCUUCGGAUCGUAAAACUCUGUUAUUAGGGAAGAACAUAUGUGUAAGUAACUGUGCACAUCUUGACGGUACCUAAUCAGAAAGCCACGGCUAACUACGUG